rnacentral:rRNA from 1 species
UACAGAGGGUGCGAGCGUUGUCCGGAAUCACUGGGCGUAAAGGGCGCGUAGGCGGUCCGCUAAGCGUGUGGUGAAAGCUCGGGGCUCAACCCCGAGUCGGCCAUGCGAACUGGUGGACUGGAGCCUGUCAGAGGCAAGCGGAAUUCCGGGUGUAGCGGUGGAAUGCGUAGAGAUCCGGAAGAACACCGGUGGCGAAGGCGGCUUGCUGAGACAGUGCUGACGCUGAGGCGCGACAGCGUGGGGAGCAAACAGG